rnacentral:rRNA from 1 species
GACGAACGCUGGCGGCGUGCUUAACACAUGCAAGUCGAACGAUGAAGCCCGCUUGCUGGUGGAUUAGUGGCGAACGGGUGGGUAACACGUGGGUGAUUUGCCCCACCCUUUGGGAUAAGCCUGGGCAACUGGGUCUAAUACCGAAUAUGACCGAUACUCGCAUGGGUGUUGGUGGUAGGCUCCGGCGGUUGGGGAUGGGCCCGCGGCCUAUCAGCUUGUUGGUGGGGUAAUGGCCUACCAAGGCGACGACGGGUAGCCGGCCUGAGAGGGCGACCGGCCACACUGGGACUGAGACACGGCCCAGACUCCUAUGGGAGGCAGCAGUGGGGAAUAUUGCACAAUGGGCGGAAGCCUGAUGCAGCGACGCCGCGUGAGGGAUGACGGCCUUCGGGUUGUAAACCGCUUUCACCAGGGACGAAGCGAAAGUGACGGUACCUGGUGAAGAAGCACCGGCCAACUACGUG